rnacentral:lncRNA from 1 species
GGGAGAAGAAAUUGACCAAGUUUACACAAUAGGAAGAAUUUCCCUACCUGAUGAGCUAAUAUUCAGCAAGGGAGGCUACAAAAAAAAGUUUGAAAGACAACUGCUAGGAAGGAGAGGCUAUACAGGAAAGGAGGGAAACUGAGGGAAUGCAUUUUUAGAGACCUCAACCUGAAUGUGUUAAGGCAAGGAAGAAGCAAAGUCUGUUACCCACUGAAUAAAAAAUACAAGGAGGACAUGCAGUGUCCAAGGCUAGCCUGUUCCCUGGUGCACCUGCUUCUGCUACUGAUCCAAACUGCAGAACAUCUCCUUCAUCCCCAAGGCCUCCAGGCAAUGUCCAAUGGGGAAUCUGCUCUAAAAGGAACCAGAUCAACGUUUUCCAGCCCCUUCAUUCUGCUACCUCUAUGUGAGGAAAGAAUAGAAAACGUUCAGGACAUCAUCAUACAGGCUCCUGAUCUACCAAGUUCCAGUAGCAGUGACGCCUACACAGAAGACUUGGAACUGCAAACAGGCUGGGGUCAUCUCACUGACAUCUGACGCUGUCCAACCAGAAGUUUGUUUUUUGUUUUGGGGGGAUGAAGAGGGAAGCAAACUGUACUAAAGGACUAAAAUAAUUUCAUAUCUAUACUUUAUUUGUUUUUGUCUUUUUUUUUGGCGGGAGAGGAGGGGUUUUCGGGUAGAAUUUCACAUCCUAUCUGGAGUGAAGAGGAGGGUGGAAAGCUCAGCCCUUCACCCAAAUAUAACCUAGUAAUGACAUCUCUAAGCGUGGGAAGUGUUUCCCUCCACACUGGGAGGAUCUGAGGCUGCACCCCAGUGGGAUUCCCUGCUCGACUUGGAAGGCCGACCUGAGGGCGAUGGCGUAUCAGCAAGAGCGCUGAGGGCUUAGCGGGCCGGGAAUGAAAUGCUAGAGGGGAGAGGCUGGAAGCGAGCGUCCCAAUCUGGAGGCGGGGGCUGUGCUGUGCAGGAGUGACAAGAGCCAGGCGGCCGCCGCCUCGGUGCCCUCUGCUGAGGUUCUCACACGGACGCGGCGCUGCUGGGCACUGAGUCCGAGUCACGAGAGGCGACCCAGCUGUGCCCAGCGGGCCAGCGCCAGACCCUGGCGUCCUCCAUCUUCUCUCCUGAGCUCCCCCUGCUCCAGCUGCCUGAGCCACGGACCGCAGCACCACACACCCCCGCGGGGGGGGACGCCGCGCCCCAUCCCC